rnacentral:rRNA from 1 species
CGUCAAGUCCUCAUGGCCUUUAUGCCCAGGGCUACACACGUGCUACAAUGGCCGGUACAAAGGGUCGCCAAAGCGCGAGCUGGAGCUAAUCCCAAAAAACCGGUCUCAGUUCGGAUUGAAGUCUGCAACUCGACUUCAUGAAGUCGGAAUCGCUAGUAAUCGCGGAUCAGCACGCCGCGGUGAAUACGUUCCCGGGCCUU